AAGAGUAUAAUUUAAUGGUAAAAUGAGAAGCUUCAAACUUCGUAUUUUCAGUUCAAGUCUGAAUGCUCUUA
rnacentral:tRNA from 1 species